rnacentral:rRNA from 1 species
AACGCGAAGAACCUUACCCAGACUUGACAUGCAGAGGACAGCGCCAGAGAUGGCGUCUCCCGCGAGGGUCUCUGCACAGGUGCUGCAUGGCUGUCGUCAGCUCGUGCCGUGAGGUGUUGGGUUAAGUCCCGCAACGAGCGCAACCCUUAUCGUUAGUUGCCAACGCGUCAUGGCGGGAACUCUAACGAGACUGCCCGGGUGAACCGGGAGGAAGGUGAGGAUGACGUCAAGUCCGCAUGGCCCUUAUGUCUGGGGCUACACACGUGCUACAAUGGCCGGUACAGAAGGCAGCGAAGCCGCGAGGUGGAGCAAAUCUUUAAAGCCGGCCCCAGUUCAGAUUGUAGUCUGCAACUCGACUACAUGAAGUUGGAAUUGCUAGUAAUGGCGAGUCAGCAACAUCGCCGUGAAUACGUUCCCGGGCCUUGUA